UCAUGACUAUUAUGUUCAAAAGGUACCGGAGAAAAUAGCUCCUGCAGCAACUGUGCCAGGAACAGUACCUACACAGGUAGCAUAUUGGCAGGAAAAGCAAGUUCGGAAAAGCGACGAUAAUCUGGCAGCGGCUUUCACCGGAGGUCAUGACUAUUAUGUUCAAAAGGUACCGGAGAAAAUAGCUCCUGCAGCAACAGUGCCAGGAACAGUACCUGCACAGGUAGGAUAUUGGCAGGAAAAGCAAGUCCCUGGAGGAGUACAUCCGGCGAACAGUCUCGGUACAGAACAGCCGGUUUACAUGAUUCAAGCACCCGCUGGAGCAUAUCACCAGCACCAGCACCCGCAAUUUGU
rnacentral:lncRNA from 1 species